rnacentral:rRNA from 1 species
UGGGGAAUAUUGGGCAAUGGGCGAAAGCCUGACCCAGCAACGCCGCGUGAAGUAUGAAGGCCUUCGGGUUGUAAACUUCUUUGAUCAGGGAAGAAACAAAUGACGGUACCUGAAAAACAAGCCACGGCUAACUACGUGCCAGCAGCCGCGGUAAUACGUAGGUGGCGAGCGUUAUCCGGAUUUACUGGGUGUAAAGGGCGUGCAGGCGGGCUGAUAAGUCAGAUGUGAAAUCCCCGAGCUUAACUCGGGAACUGCAUCUGAUACUGUUGGACUUGAGUGCUGGAGAGGAUAGUGGAAUUCCUAGUGUAGCGGUAAAAUGCGCAGAUAUUAGGAGGAACACCAGUGGCGAAGGCGGCUAUCUGGACAGUAACUGACGCUGAGGCGCGAAAGCGUGGGUAGCAAACAGG